AGAUUGAACGCUGGCGGCAGGCCUAACACAUGCAAGUCGAGCGGCAGCACGGGUACUUGUACCUGGUGGCGAGCGGCGGACGGGUGAGUAAUGCCUAGGAAUCUGCCUGAUAGUGGGGGAUAACGCUCGGAAACGGGCGCUAAUACCGCAUACGUCCUACGGGAGAAAGCAGGGGACCUUCGGGCCUUGCGCUAUCAGAUGAGCCUAGGUCGGAUUAGCUAGUUGGUGGGGUAAUGGCUCACCAAGGCGACGAUCCGUAACUGGUCUGAGAGGAUGAUCAGUCACACUGGAACUGAGACACGGUCCAGACUCCUACGGGAGCAGCAGUGGAGAAUAUUGGACAAGUGGGACGAAAGCCUGAUCCAGCCAUGCCGCGUGUGUGAAGAAGGUCUUACGGAUUGUAAAAGUCAACGUUUUAAGGUGGGAAGGAAGGGCUAAGUUUAACCGUAAAUUACGUUAAUCGUUGUUUUAGACGUUAACCGAC
rnacentral:rRNA from 1 species